GCCUGGCUGGCUCAGUCGGAAGAGUGUGAGACUCUUGAUCUCAGGGUGGUGGGUUCGAGCCCCAUGCUGGGUG